CCUACGGGUGGCUGCAGUGGGGAAUUUUGGACAAUGGGCGCAAGCCUGAUCCAGCUAUUCCGCGUGUGGGAUGACGGCCUUCGGGUUGUAAACCACUUUUGUAGCGAACGAAAAGUCUGUUGAUAACACCGAUAGAUGAUGACGGUACUCUAAGACUAAGCACCGGCUAACUACGUGCCAGCAGCCGUGGUAAUACGUAGGGUGCGAGUGUCAAUCGGAAGUACUGGGCGUAAAGGGUGUGCAGGCGGUUUUGCAAGAUGGAUGUGAAGGCCCCGGGCUUAAACUGGGAAAGCCAUACAUGACAGCAAGACUAGAGUGCGUCAGAGGGGGGUGGAAUUCCAAGUGUAGCAGUGAGAUGCGUAGAUAUUUGGAAGAACACCGAUGGCGAAGGCAGCCCCCUGGGACGCAACUGACGCUCAUACACGAAAGCGUGGGGAGCAAACAGGAUUAGAUACCCCUGUAGUC
rnacentral:rRNA from 1 species